AGCGAACGCUGGCGGCAGGCCUAACACAUGCAAGUCGAACGAACUCUUCGGAGUUAGUGGCGGACGGGUGAGUAACACGUGGGAACGUGCCUUUUGGUUCGGAAUAACUCAGGGAAACUUGUGCUAAUACCGAAUGUGCCCUUCGGGGGAAAGAUUUAUCGCCAUUAGAGCGGCCCGCGUCUGAUUAGCUAGUUGGUGAGGUAACGGCUCACCAAGGCGACGAUCAGUAGCUGGUCUGAGAGGAUGACCAGCCACACUGGGACUGAGACACGGCCCAGACUCCUACGGGAGGCAGCAGUGGGGAAUCUUGCGCAAUGGGCGAAAGCCUUACGCAGCCAUGCCGCGUGAAUGAUGAAGGUCUUAGGAUUGUAAAAUUCCUUCACCGGGGACGAUAAUGACGGUACCCGGAGAAGAAGCCCCGGCUAACUUCGUG
rnacentral:rRNA from 1 species